rnacentral:rRNA from 1 species
UCAGAACGUCGUGAGACAGUUCGGUCUCCUAUCUGCCAUAGGCGUGAAAACUUGAAAGGGCUCAUCCCUAGUACGAGAGGACCGGGAUGGAUGUGCCUCUGGUGUACCAGUUGUUCUACCAAGAGCAUUGCUGGGUAGCUACGCACAGUUUGGAUAAACGCUGAAAGCAUCUAAGCGUGAAGCCGUCCUUAAGAUUAGGUUUUGAUCUCCCGCGAGACUAGCGGGUUGAUAGGUUGCAGGUGUAAGCACAGCGAUGUGUUUAGCCGAGCAAUACUAAUUGAUCUAAAUGUUUAACAAU